GGUCUACUCCAGGCAUCACGGUCCCUUUGAGAAGAUUGCGAAUUUUGCUUCCUAGUAACGUCAUUGAGAUGGCAAAAUACUUCCCAAUCUUCUUCGUUGUGGCGAUGAUCGUCCAUUCGCUUCUGGCGCAUCCCCUGAAUUUGGAUGAACUUGUACCCACGGGUACGGAGGAAAGUUCGAUUAUAAGUCAACAAGGUUCAACAGAUAACUCUUUGGAAUCGGAUACCGAAAAUGAAGACGAAGUUGACCUAGACGACGUCAUAAAUUCGUUGAAUGGAACUGAUAAUGACGUCAUCAAGGAAGUAAUUACCCUACCGCCGCCCAUAAUAAAAGAGGUAGAGAAAGCCCUGAAGAAAGUAAUUAGAGAAGCUGUUGUAGUGCCUCAAAAGAAAGUGUACCGAGAAGUGAAAAGAUUCUGGAAGAAACUCUUUGGCUAGAUUAUACGUGCUCUAGAAAUAUAAUGAGUUGCUGAUGAACUGAAAGGACUUCGCUGCUAAUUGACCCGUGGAGCCGUCAAACAUCUGCUUGGAGAGCCAACUAAUGAAAAGAUUCCGAACAAAACUUUAUGUUUAAGUUGUAACCGAAUAUAUUUUUACGCACUGCACAUUGCAUAAUGUCCAUGUUCUUCGGGCCAUGUUUAUGUUAAAGUUUAUGUUCAUUGUCAUCCAAAACAAUCAAAUUAAUUGCUCAACAUUAUUUUGUUCUAAGUAGAAAUAAUUUAUAAAUGAUUAUCAUUGUCACAAUAUCCGCAAAACUAAUCAAUAUUGUGGUAUAAAAUACUAUGUAUUUUAAUGGAAUGGUAUCUUAAUUCUUAAGAAGUCAAACGGAAAUCCAUUUCUCCGAUUGACAGAAUUACCUUAUGAUAUCAUAAUUAAUUUUUUCCGUUUAUUUAUCCGAUCCGUGAAGACAAUUUGAAUUUCUUUGGUUAGAGGAAGUAGCUAAACUGACGAAUUUCAGUUAAUUUGUUUAAGUUGUUCAGUCGCACAUUAAAUUUGUUAUUUGUGGCGAGAGUCGUUUUGUUUUUCUCAACAUUAAUGGCAAUGAAAAGUCUUCGUUCUUUAAUAUGUAUUUGAUAUUUUUAACGUGUAUUUGAUAUUUCUCUCUUCUAAAUAUAUGUCUG
rnacentral:lncRNA from 1 species